GAAUAGAAAUCCUUUACAAAAUGGGGAUGGUGAUAGAAACCUAUGACAAAGAUGGAAAUAGAAUAGACAUUUUCGACAAAAGUGGAAACCUUAUACAUGCUUUUAAGAAAGAAGAGG